CAUUUAAAUGCACCUCAAGUCAACAACAUACAAUAUAAAAUAAGGAAAUAUAGAUAAGACUAAAACUGAAAAAGAAAAAACAAAUGUAAAAGUUGUUUCUCUCUCUAGAAUGGCGAUUUCGCAUCAGCUGAAAUGGACAGGAAGAUGACUGGAGGGAGGGGGAAACAUGGCAAAGGGGUGGUGACAAACAUGGCUAUGGCGAAGAAAGGGGUUCCACAGUCGGGAGAUGUGCGGAAAACAAGGAAUGUGAAUGUAUUGCAAGGGAUUGUACCAUUUAACUUAUUGAGGAAAGUGACACCCGAAUCAACCCCGGUAGGGAGUACGAGCAAUGCAACAACUAACCCACUAAGCUCAACAAAAUCUUUAUGGGCUGACCAAGUAGAGGAGGAAACAAUUGACAAAUCAGGAAUAUCUUGUGGGAUGGACAAGCUAACAUUAACAAGACCGCUCUCAUAGCUUGGGACAUUGUUUGCAGGCCAAAAAAAGGAGGACGACUGGGAAUUACUGAAUGUAUCACAUAGAAUGAAGCAGCAGUGGUCAAUUAUGUUUGGAACAUAGCUAAUAAGGCUGACAAUUUGUGAGUGAAAUGGGUCAAUCAUCUCUACAUCAAAGGGAAAGACUGGUGGCACUAUCAGGCACCAACUGAUAGUUGUUGGUAUUGGAAGAAAAGAUGUAGCAUUAAGGAGAAGUUUGCACCUGGUUUAUGUCAAAUGGAUGGAUAACACCAGCUGGCAAAUACAUAAUACAUGUGGUUAUGCAUGGAGUAGAGGAACAAGAAGUGAAUGGCAACAUUGGAAUAAUAUGAAUGUACCAAAGCACAACUUUAUAAGCUGGGUGGCAGUGCACAACAGACUACACACAAGGGAUAGGUUGAAGAGGAUGGGUAUAAGUCAAGAAGAAAAUUGUUUGCUAUGUGAUAGGCAAGCUGAGACAACAGAUCAUUUAUGCUUCAAAUGUAAAUUCUCUAAAGCUUGUCUUACUUUCCUAUUUCUGUGGGUCCAAAUAAGUUUGCAGAAUAUGGAUUUGACUAGAAUCUGGACAAGAUUAGCUAGAAAAGCCCAAGGCAGACAAAGUAAGAAAUUCCUCUGGACACUGGUGACAGCAAUGAUCUAUCAUAUAUGGAUGGCAAGGAAUGAUGCAUUAUGGAAUCGCAAAGUACCCAGGCCCCCAGGUGCCGUGCAGAUCAAGCCAACAGGAAUGCUAUGCUAGAAUUGUAAAUAUAAUACACAGAAGACAGCGAUAUAAAGAUAGGGACCGGAUGGAAGGUGUUAUAGCUAGGAUGAAUGUGUAACAGAGGAAUAGGAGAAUGAGCAAUAGCUUAGUUUGUUUGGUUUUUCUUUUCUAUUACUAGCAAAGAUGUAAAUGACUCUGAAGUUUGGGUUACCAAUAUUACAGUUUGUUCAAUAAAAAAAAAAAAAACUGAAAGGUAUCAAAAAUUUGAGAAAAAGGAUAUAAUUAAUAUAGUUGGGUGAAACAAAAUUUUAUCCCAUGCAUGUGUUCAUUCAAUUUAAGACAAUUCUAUAAUACAAAAGAGACGUUGUGUAUUUGUAUAUUGAUUUGAAUUAUAAUAUGAUACAAAUAUA